GAACUGGCCGCGUAAUGUAGUGCUGUUCUCUGCUCGGAAUCUGCAGCCUUGGGGCUAGCUCCGCGCUGAAGAAAAAAACGUAACAUCGCAAUGUUGGUCGUCAUUGAAGCGUACAGGAUUGCUGCAUUGAAGCAGGAAGAAGAUUUACGAAGCAUGAUGGCUGUUUAAAAAAAAACUUUGCGUAAUGAUGAAUGGAAAUUUCAACGCCAUUUUCUACCUCAACGUGCUAAGCAACUAACCUAGUUUCCCUCAUCGGUGGCGCAUUUGCACCGAGAAAAGUAAGACCGAAUGUUUACCAGACUUUGCUCUCCGGAUGUAUUUACGGAUUGUAUCAAUCGGCUAGCUCUGGUAACUGUUAAUCUUCAGUGGCCGGCGAUAGAUCCAACGACCUGAAAUAGACGUCUUUCAUGGCAUGAAGGAUGGAAUGUGUUAGUUCCAAGAUUUGACGAUGUUGAUUUCACCGU